UUGGAGGGCAAGUCUGGUGCCAGCAGCCGCGGUAAUUCCAGCUCCAAUAGCGUAUAUUAAAGUUGUUGCAGUUAAAAAGCUCGUAGUUGAAUUUCGGGGUCAGUAGGUCGGUCGUGCCACUGGUAUGAACUGGUUUUACUGAUUCCUCCCUCUUGAAGAACUGUAAUGCCAUUAAUUUGGUGUUGCAGGGAAUCAGGACUGUUACUUUGAAAAAAUUAGAGUGUUUAAAGCAGGCUUUAGCCUGAAUACAUUAGCAUGGAAUAAUGAAAUAGGACGUUUGAUCCUAUUUUGUUGGUUUCUAGGAUUGACGUAAUGAUUAAUAGGGAUAGUUGGGGGCAUUAGUAUUCAAUUGUCAGAGGUGAAAUUCUUGGAUUCAUUGAAGACUAACUACUGCGAAAGCAUUUGCCAAGGAUGUUUUCAUUAAUCAAGAACGAAAGUUAGGGGAUCGAAGACGAUCAGAUACCGUCGUAGUCUUAACCAUAAACUAUGCCGACUAGGGAUCGGAUGAUGUUAAUUUUUUAAUGACUCAUUCGGCGCCUUACGGGAAAC
rnacentral:rRNA from 1 species